AGAAUCAACGCUGGCGGCGUGCCUAACACAUGCAAGUCGAACGGGAAAGUGGAGCAAUCCAUGAGUAUAGUGGCGACCGGGUGAGUAACACGUGACUAACCUACCCUUGAGUGGGGGAUAACCUCGGGAAAACCGGGGCUAAUACCGCAUAACAUCUUCGGGAUGAGAGGCUGAAGAUCAAAGGAGCAAUUCGCUUUCGGAGGGGUCGCGGCUGAUUAGCUAGUUGGCGGGUAACGGCCCACCAAGGCUUUGAUCGGUA
rnacentral:rRNA from 1 species